rnacentral:rRNA from 1 species
GAUGAACGCUGGCGGCGUGCCUAAUACAUGCAAGUCGGGCGAACGGACGAGAAGCUUGCUUCUCUGAUGUUAGCGGCGGACGGGUGAGUAACACGUGUAUAACCUACCUAUAAGACUGGGAUAACUUCGGGAAACCGGAGCUAAUACCGGAGAAUAUUUUGAACCGCAUGGUUCAAUAGUGAAAGACGGUCUUGCUGUCACUUAUAGAUGGAUCCGCGCUGCAUUAGCUAGUUGGUAAGUUAACGGCCUACCAAGGCGACGAUGCAUAGCCGACCUGAGAGAGUGAUCGGCGACCCUGGAACGGAGCCGGGGUCCAGGGUCCUACGAGAGGCAGCAGAAGCGAAUCUUCGGCAGUGGGCGAAAGCAUGACGGAGCGACGCCGCGUCAGUGAUGAAGGUCUUCGGAUCGUAAAGCUCUCUUAUUAGGGAAGAACAUAUGUGGAAGUAGAUGUGGACAUAUUGACGGUACCUAAUAAGAAAGCCACGGCUAACUACGUG